rnacentral:lncRNA from 1 species
GCUAUAGCCGACGAAGAAGAAGCAGGUUUCUUCGUUUGAGUCAGUCGCCUUGAUUCAGAAUGUCACGAGCCUUAUGAUAUCAUGCUGAGGCGCCUUGCAAAUCCGACAAUUAAGAUCCUCCUAGACCUUGAGGUGAUCAGCAUAAGAGGCCAGAUCCCCUCGAGUCAUCUACACCUAGCUUCACCUUAUUCUUUAAAGGGCAGAAAAUUUGAGUCGGUGAUCGCCGUAACAGUAAAUUUGGCUUACAAUUGGGGCCCCCCUCCGCUUUAGAAAGAGGAACACCAGAUUGACCACAUUCCCAACUAGAAAAAUCUUCUUGCGUCAAUCAAGCCUCACCUGGCUCUUUUGGCUGUCAGUUUGAUCGUCGUUAGAUUGAAGAAAACAUCUAGAUGCAGCGAUCGGCUAUAGAUACUUCUAGAUCAUCUAGAUCUACUAGACCUACUACUAGACCAUGGGCCAAAGAGGGUCGACCUGCAAACUUGCAAGGUUUAUUUUAAUACACAUUAUGGUGUUUUAUAUUUUGUAAUUCUAAGUUGUAAUUCAGCUUUUAACAAAUCUUUUUUUAGGUUAGUAAAAGUAAAAAAAAAAAAAAAAACUAAUAGGCCCAGAGUUUUUCCAAAUGAGAUACUAAAUUUUAAAAUAGUUUUGAGAUUUGAUUUCAGCAGAGGUACACAAACACUAAAACUAAGUUAUCAUCUAAUAUUUUGUAUUUUUCUAACUUGAAAAAUAGGUCACGAUCUAGAUCACAUUCCCGAUCCAGGGGAAGGCGAUACUCUCGCUCACGUAGUAGGAGCCGCGGUAGGAGGUCAAGAUCAGCAUCUCCUCGACGAUCAAGGUCCGUGUCUCUUCGUAGAUCAAGAUCAGCUUCACUCAGAAGAUCUAGAUCCCGCUCAAGGUCGAGAUCAAGAUCCAGGUCUAUUUCACGACCAAGAAGCAGCCGAUCAAAAUCCAGAUCUCCAUCUCCUAAAAGAAGUCGUUCCCCAUCAGGAAGUCCACACAGAAGUGCAAGUCCAGAAAGAAUGGACUGAAGUUCUCAAGUUCACCCGUUAGGGAAAAGUUAUUUUGUUUACAUUAUUAUAAGGGAUUUGUUAUGUCUGUAAAGUGUAACCUAGGAAGGUUCAUCAACCAUCUAAUCAAAAUGGAUCUGGAUUAUUACUCUGUAAAAUUCACAGCAGUAAAUAUUGUUUUUGUUGAAUGUAUUAACAUCUUAUGGUCUGGAAAUGUAGGUUUUUAUUUGACACAUUUAAAUAAAAUGUUUC